UUAAGCGACUAAGCGUACACGGUGGAUGCCCUGGCAGUCAGAGGCGAUGAAGGACGUGCUAAUCUGCGAUAAGCGUCGGUGAGGUGAUAUGAACCGUUAUAACCGGCGAUUUCCGAAUGGGGAAACCCAGUGUGUUUCGACACACUAUCAUUAACUGAAUCCAUAGGUUAAUGAGGCGAACCGGGGGAACUGAAACAUCUAAGUACCCCGAGGAAAAGAAAUCAACCGAGAUUCCCCCAGUAGCGGCGAGCGAACGGGGAGGAGCCCAGAGCCUGAAUCAGUGUGUGUGUUAGUGGAAGCGUCUGGAAAGGCGUGCGAUACAGGGUGACAGCCCCGUACACAAAAAUGCACAUAUUGUGAGCUCGAUGAGUAGGGCGGGACACGUGGUAUCCUGUCUGAAUAUGGGGGGACCAUCCUCCAAGGCUAAAUACUCCUGACUGACCGAUAGUGAACCAGUACCGUGAGGGAAAGGCGAAAAGAACCCCGGCGAGGGGAGUGAAAAAGAACCUGAAACCGUGUACGUACAAGCAGUGGGAGCCUCUUAAUGGGGUGACUGCGUACCUUUUGUAUAAUGGGUCAGCGACUUAUAUUCUGUAGCAAGGUUAACCGAAUAGGGGAGCCGAAGGGAAACCGAGUCUUAACUGGGCGUUAAGUUGCAGGGUAUAGACCCGAAACCCGGUGAUCUAGCCAUGGGCAGGUUGAAGGUUGGGUAACACUAACUGGAGGACCGAACCGACUAAUGUUGAAAAAUUAGCGGAUGACUUGUGGCUGGGGGUGAAAGGCCAAUCAAACCGGGAGAUAGCUGGUUCUCCCCGAAAGCUAUUUAGGUAGCGCCUCGUGAAUUCAUCUCCGGGGGUAGAGCACUGUUUCGGCAAGGGGGUCAUCCCGACUUACCAACCCGAUGCAAACUGCGAAUACCGGAGAAUGUUAUCACGGGAGACACACGGCGGGUGCUAACGUCCGUCGUGAAGAGGGAAACAACCCAGACCGCCAGCUAAGGUCCCAAAGUCAUGGUUAAGUGGGAAACGAUGUGGGAAGGCCCAGACAGCCAGGAUGUUGGCUUAGAAGCAGCCAUCAUUUAAAGAAAGCGUAAUAGCUCACUGGUCGAGUCGGCCUGCGCGGAAGAUGUAACGGGGCUAAACCAUGCACCGAAGCUGCGGCAGCGACACUAUGUGUUGUUGGGUAGGGGAGCGUUCUGUAAGCCUGUGAAGGUGGCCUGUGAGGGUUGCUGGAGGUAUCAGAAGUGCGAAUGCUGACAUAAGUAACGAUAAAGCGGGUGAAAAGCCCGCUCGCCGGAAGACCAAGGGUUCCUGUCCAACGUUAAUCGGGGCAGGGUGAGUCGACCCCUAAGGCGAGGCCGAAAGGCGUAGUCGAUGGGAAACAGGUUAAUAUUCCUGUACUUGGUGUUACUGCGAAGGGGGGACGGAGAAGGCUAUGUUGGCCGGGCGACGGUUGUCCCGGUUUAAGCGUGUAGGCUGGUUUUCCAGGCAAAUCCGGAAAACCAAGGCUGAGGCGUGAUGACGAGGCACUACGGUGCUGAAGCGACAAAUGCCCUGCUUCCAGGAAAAGCCUCUAAGCAUCAGGUAACAUCAAAUCGUACCCMAAACCGACACAGGUGGUCAGGUAGAGAAUACCAAGGCGCUUGAGAGAACUCGGGUGAAGGAACUAGGCAAAAUGGUGCCGUAACUUCGGGAGAAGGCACGCUGAUAUGUAGGUGAAGCGACUUGCUCGUGGAGCUGAAAUCAGUCGAAGAUACCAGCUGGCUGCAACUGUUUAUUAAAAACACAGCACUGUGCAAACACGAAAGUGGACGUAUACGGUGUGACGCCUGCCCGGUGCCGGAAGGUUAAUUGAUGGGGUUAGCGGUAACGCGAAGCUCUUGAUCGAAGCCCCGGUAAACGGCGGCCGUAACUAUAACGGUCCUAAGGUAGCGAAAUUCCUUGUCGGGUAAGUUCCGACCUGCACGAAUGGCGUAAUGAUGGCCAGGCUGUCUCCACCCGAGACUCAGUGAAAUUGAACUCGCUGUGAAGAUGCAGUGUACCCGCGGCAAGACGGAAAGACCCCGUGAACCUUUACUAUAGCUUGACACUGAACAUUGAGCCUUGAUGUGUAGGAUAGGUGGGAGGCUUUGAAGUGUGGACGCCAGUCUGCAUGGAGCCGACCUUGAAAUACCACCCUUUAAUGUUUGAUGUUCUAACGUUGGCCCGUAAUCCGGGUUGCGGACAGUGUCUGGUGGGUAGUUUGACUGGGGCGGUCUCCUCCUAAAGAGUAACGGAGGAGCACGAAGGUUGGCUAAUCCUGGUCGGACAUCAGGAGGUUAGUGCAAUGGCAUAAGCCAGCUUGACUGCGAGCGUGACGGCGCGAGCAGGUGCGAAAGCAGGUCAUAGUGAUCCGGUGGUUCUGAAUGGAAGGGCCAUCGCUCAACGGAUAAAAGGUACUCCGGGGAUAACAGGCUGAUACCGCCCAAGAGUUCAUAUCGACGGCGGUGUUUGGCACCUCGAUGUCGGCUCAUCACAUCCUGGGGCUGAAGUAGGUCCCAAGGGUAUGGCUGUUCGCCAUUUAAAGUGGUACGCGAGCUGGGUUUAGAACGUCGUGAGACAGUUCGGUCCCUAUCUGCCGUGGGCGCUGGAGAACUGAGGGGGGCUGCUCCUAGUACGAGAGGACCGGAGUGGACGCAUCACUGGUGUUCGGGUUGUCAUGCCAAUGGCACUGCCCGGUAGCUAAAUGCGGAAGAGAUAAGUGCUGAAAGCAUCUAAGCACGAAACUUGCCCCGAGAUGAGUUCUCCCUGACUCCUUGAGRGUCCUGAAGGAACGUUGAAGACGACGACGUUGAUAGGCCGGGUGUGUAAGCGCAGCGAUGCGUUGAGCUAACCGGUACUAAUGAACCGUGAGGCUUAACCUU
rnacentral:rRNA from 1 species